GUCCCCUUCACCUUUCCAACUCCAGAGAGAGAGAGAGAGGGAGUCAGUUGCAGUAGGAAGAGAUGAAGACCAUUCUCUCAUCUGAAACCAUGGAUAUCCCCGAGGGGGUGAAGAUCAAAGUGAACGCGAAAAUCAUCGAGGUCGAAGGCCCUCGGGGGAAACUCGUUCGGAAUUUCAAGCAUCUGAAUCUCGAUUUCCAGCUGAUCACCGACGAGGCUACCGGAAAGAAGAAGCUCAAGAUUGAUGCUUGGUUUGGCUCCAGGAAGACUUCUGCUGCCAUUCGCACUGCCCUUAGCCAUGUUGAAAAUCUCAUCACUGGUGUCACGAAGGGCUACCGUUACAAGAUGCGAUUUGUUUAUGCUCACUUUCCAAUUAAUGCUAGCAUCACGAACGCUAGCAAAUCCAUCGAGAUCCGCAACUUUCUUGGC
rnacentral:misc_RNA from 1 species